GACGAACGCUGGCGGCGUGCUUAACACAUGCAAGUCGAGCGGUAAGGCCCUUCGGGGUACACGAGCGGCGAACGGGUGAGUAACACGUGAGCAACCUGCCCCCGACUCUGGGAUAAGCGGUGGAAACGCCGUCUAAUACCGGAUACGACCCGCCACCUCAUGGUGUGCGAGUGGAAAGUUUUUUCGGUUGGGGAUGGGCUCGCGGCCUAUCAGCUUGUUGGUGGGGUAAAGGCCUACCAAGGCGAUUACGGGUAGCCGGCCUGAGAGGGCGACCGGCCACACUGGGACUGAGACACGGCCCAGACUCCUGCGGGAGGCAGCAGUGGGGAAUAUUGCACAAUGGGCGAAAGCCUGAUGCAGCGACGCCGCGUGGGGGAUGACGGCCUUCGGGUUGUAAACCUCUUUUACCACUAACGCAGGCUCCACGUUCUCGUGGGGUUGACGGUAGGUGGGGAAUAAGGACCGGCUAACUACGUGCCAGCAGCCGCGGUAAUACGUAGGGUCCGAGCGUUGUCCGGAAUUAUUGGGCGUAAAGAGCUCGUAGGCGGCGUGUCGCGUCUGCUGUGAAAGACCGGGGCUUAACUCCGGUUCUGCAGUGGAUACGGGCACGCUAGAGGUAGGUAGGGGAGACUGGAAUUCCUGGUGUAGCGGUGAAAUGCGCAGAUAUCAGGAGGAACACCGGUGGCGAAGGCGGGUCUCUGGGCCUUACCUGACGCUGAGGAGCGAAAGCAUGGGGAGCGAACAGGAUUAGAUACCCUGGUAGUCCAUGCCGUAAACGUUGGGCGCUAGGUGUGGGGACUUUCCACGGUUUCCGCGCCGUAGCUAACGCAUUAAGCGCCCCGCCUGGGGAGUACUGGCCGCAAGGCUAAAACUCAAAGGAAUUGACAGGGGGCCCGCACAAGCGGCGGGAGCAUGUUGCUUAAUUCGACGCAACGCGAAGAACCUUACCAAGGUUUGACAUCACCCGUGGACCUGUAGAGAUACAGGGUCAUUUAGUUGGUGGGUGACAGGUGGUGCAUGGCUGUCGUCAGCUCGUGUCGUGAGAUGUUGGGUAGUCCCGCACGGAGCGCUAUCCUGUCCAUGUGCCAGCACGUAUGUUGGGAACUCAUGGGGAGACUGCCUGGGUCCACCUUCGGAAGGAAGGGUGGGGAACAAACGU
rnacentral:rRNA from 1 species